GCCGAGGUGGUGGAAUUGGUAGACACGCUACUUUGAGGUGGUAGUGGUCCAAAAGACCGUGGGAGUUCGAGUCUCCCCCUCGGCA
rnacentral:tRNA from 1 species